rfam:Schistosoma rodhaini strain Burundi genome assembly, scaffold: SROB_scaffold0005706
GCAUUGCUGAAGAGUCCCAUAAUAUGACAAAACGGCCGUCCAGUGC